UCGUAACCAANGCUUACCGUAGGUGAAGCCUGCGAAAGGAUCAUUA
rnacentral:rRNA from 1 species